GAUGAACGCUGGCGGCGUGCCUAAUACAUGCAAGUCGAGCGAACAGACGAGGAGCUUGCUCCUCUGACGUUAGCGGCGGACGGGUGAGUAACACGUGGAUAACCUACCUAUAAGACUGGGAUAACUUCGGGAAACCGGAGCUAAUACCGGAUAAUAUAUUGAACCGCAUUGUUCAAUAGUGAAAGACGGUUUUGCUGUCACUUAUAGAUGGAUCCGCUCCGCAUUAGCUAGUUGGUAAGGUAACGGCUUACCAAGGCAACGAUGCGUAGCCGACCUGAGAGGGUGAUCGGCCACACUGGAACUGAGACACGGUCCAGACUCCUACGGGAGGCAGCAGUAGGGAAUCUUCCGCAAUGGGCGAAAGCCUGACGGAGCAACGCCGCGUGAGUGAUGAAGGUCUUCGGAUCGUAAAACUCUGUUAUUAGGGAAGAACAAAUGUGUAAGUAACUAUGCACGUCUUGACGGUACCUAAUCAGAAAGCCACGGCUAACUACGUG
rnacentral:rRNA from 1 species